rnacentral:tRNA from 1 species
GGGGAUGAAGCUCAGUGGUAGAGCACUUGCCUAACAUGUAUGAGGCUCUGGAUUACAUCCCCA